UCGCUCUGUCUAGUGUUGUCGUAUGUUCUGCAAGUUGCUGCAUUACCUGUUCUGGAUUUUGGAUGUACCAGUUUCCUGUACCCGUGAGUUUUUGUUCAUGCCUGUUUGUCUUGCCUUAAAAACUUGGAUUAAAAACCCUGGAAUCUAUCUCCGCUCCUGGUGUCUUGCAUUUGGGUUCACACUCGAGCUUUGCGCACCCAGCGACCGUGACACAUUUUGUAUAGUCCAAGGGUCCAGGUGAAUUCAAUCAGCUGACAACGUUCCACUGUCAAUAAAUUGUCUACUGAGGUUGGCCAGUACAGCCUUCAAGUCAGUGAGGGGCAUCACAUGCCACUUUACACAAACGUGCUGCUCAAACUUAAUUGUUCAAUGAAAAUACCUAAAUCAUUGUUUUGUGGCUACUGCGCUAUUUUUGUUAACAAGGAUGCAAUUGGAAAAACUCUUUUCUUCAGAGAUUUAUGAAAUUGGCCUUGCUUGUUAACAGUAUGUGGGAGACAAAGACAGAAGAAAGAGCUUGGCGGCCUGUGAUCGGUUGUCCCAGUGGCCUUGUCCUGGGGCAACACAUACAUCACCUCUGAAUCCAUUGCAGUGGAAUGUCUCCAUUAGGGGGGGAAAAGGCUCCAAGCUAGCUUCAUAGUCACAAGUUCUUCAGAGCAAUUUCCUGGAGUCUUGAAUACAGGCAGGAAAUGAGAAGGGGAUGAUUUAAUUCAACAGUUCUUAGGUAUGUAGAUGUGAGGCACUUCACUAAAACAAAGGAAUUGUAGUGGAGAAAGCUUUUAGAUCUACCUAUCAAGCCCACUUACACUUACAGCCCACUGGUGCCCUUUACAAUGCAUCUCUUCCCAGACUGGGAAGCUUUCAUUAUCCCCCCUGGCUCUUUUCUCCACUUGAAUGCCUGGACCAGUUUCACCACUGUCACCAAACAAUGACAACACCAACUUCAUGGCCAUGAAUGAGAAUGACAAAUCAUUAAAUAGGAACAAGAAAGAUCUGAACAGGCCAAAAUGCUAAAUGGCAAUGGCUUGGAUAAAGGUUUUUAGUCCCUGCUUGAUAUAGUUACACAUGUCUAUUUUUCAUUUUAGAGCUCUGUGAUCUGUGGAUCUGGUGAUCCAGUUGUCUGGCCAAAACACACAUUACAAACUGCGGAAUUUAGUGAAGAGUAUGCCUCCACACUGUAAAUAUGUAGUUUUUAAUUUAAAACCUGGACCAAUCAACUUCCAGUACAUGUUUGAACUAGGGCACUGAGCCCUCACACAGGAAGGCAUAGUGUUUACAUGGGUGUAAUGGGCAUAUUAAGGGACUCAAGCACACAAGCAGAGUCACUGGCCUGUCACUGUUAUGUACUGAAAUAUUAUGCAAAGUACUACAGAAUACAGGUUUACACCAGGGUUAAUCCAAAUGGUCUGCAACUCAUUGUUUCAUCUCAAAAAUAAAUUCUAAUGUUUCAGUGUUUCUGCCAGCAUUUUUUUUUUUUUUUUAAAUUCUUGUAGGAGUGGAACUGCAUAAAUGUCAUCACCACCAAUUAUAGGUGUGAUUGGGGAAUCUCCUACAUUCCUGUCCAUAAAUAGACGUAUUUUAUACAGUACUGUGGUAUUAAAAGAAUCUGUCAAAUGUGCCAUUGUACAGAAUACUUUUAUGCAAGUCUGAAAAGACCUUAUGACUGUUACAGAUGAUAUAACAAGACAAUUAUCAGAUUUUAGCCAUGCUAGUGGCAUGGCUUUAUGGAUGGCAAUAUCUGUCAGUCGAUCACUCCACCACUUUGGUCCACUCAAAAAUAUCUCAGGAACUAUUAGACAUGUUACUGUGAAAUUUGGUACAGACAUUCAUGUUCCCAAGAGGGGGAAGCCUACUGACUUAAGGCAUUACCUUAUAGUACUAACAUGAGGUUGGCAUUUUUGGUUUUAAGUGAAAUAUCUAUAUCUCAACAACUAUUGGAUGGAUCGCCAUGACAUUGUGGUGUGUACUAAAUAUCAUGGCAAUUCAUCCAAUAGCAUGAUUCAUGCUUUUAAAUGUUUAAGCAUUUAGCCCAAAAAGGAGGUGCCAGCACAACAGCCUCAUGAAGUAGCUACCAUAUUCUCUUAGUUGUCUUAAUAAAAGAUAAUAAGUAUCAGUGUACUUUCAAACUGAAAGCAAAACAAAAUUCAACAGCCACCUCCAAGACUACCGGUUAAACCUUAUUGUCACACUAAAGACAAUGUGAUGUUUGAAUGUCUUGUCUUUUAAUUUAAUUUGUCUUCUUUUUUGUGUGUCAACCCCAGGAACAAUAGUUGUUACUGCUGUAAUAACUAAUUGGGAUCCUAAAGAAAAGUGUAAAGACAAAACUCAGUGUAACAAGAAUAAAUCAAACAGUUGUUUAGAAAUUAUGAGUAAAAUCAAAAUUCUAAAAGUAGCAGUACUACUAAAGCCAUCACCUGCAGCGAUUAUGGCUUCAGCAGCAUUUGCAGUGAUGAUGAUAAAGUGAUGUUAAAGGUCAACAACACUGAGAUGGCUGCUUCACCAUCAACACCAUAAAGCUUUUCCACAUGAUGACUGCAUUCCCUAUCAUCGUAACUUAAAGGUCUGAAUAUUAAAGCUGACAACAUUGUGCAUCACUUCGACAACAGCCAAUUCAUAACAGGGCGGUCAUUGAUCAUCUGAAGUAACACCAUGGCAGAAAAUGAAUAGAGACAAUAUUGUGCUUUUUGAUUUAUUGCUGCUUUGACUUGGCUCUAACUUCCCCACCUCUUAAGUAAAAAGGGCUGUGGACAAGUGGCAGCUA